AAUAGAUACCCUGGUAGUCCAUGCCGUAAACGAUAUCUACUAGCCGUUGGGGCCCUUGAGGCUUUAGUGGCGCAGCUAACGCGAUAAGUAGACCGCCUGGGGAGUACGGUCGCAAGACUAAAACUCAAAUGAAUUGACGGGGGCCCGCACAAGCGGUCGGAGCAUGUGGUUUAAUUCGAUGCAACGCGAAGAACCUUACCUGGCCUUGACAUACAGAGAACUUUCCAGAGAUGGAUUGGUGCCUUCGGGAACUCUGAUACAGGUGCUGCAUGGCUGUCGUCAGCUCGUGUCGUGAGAUGUUGGGUUAAGUCCCGCAACGAGCGCAACCCUUUUCCUUAUUUGCCAGCACUUCGGGUGGGAACUUUAAGGAUACUGCCAGUGACAAACUGGAGGAAGGCGGGGACGACGUCAAGUCAUCAUGGCCCUUACGGCCAGGGCUACACACGUGCUACAAUGGUCGGUACAAAGGGUUGCUACUGCGCGAGCAGAUGCUAAUCUCAAAAAGCCGAUCGUAGUCCGGAUCGC
rnacentral:rRNA from 1 species